rnacentral:rRNA from 1 species
UACAGAGGGUGCAAGCGUUAAUCGGAAUUACUGGGCGUAAAGCGUGCGCAGACGGUUGCGUAAGUCAGAUGUGAAAGCCCCGGGCUCAACCUGGGAAUUGCAUUUGAGACUGCGUAGCUAGGGUGCGGAAGAGGGAAGCGGAAUUUACGGUGUAGCGGUGGAAAUGCGUAGAUAUCGUAAGGAACACCAGUGGCGAAGGCGGCUACCUGGAC